rnacentral:rRNA from 1 species
GAUUAAGUUAUUAAGGGCGCACGGUGGAUGCCUUGGCACUAGAAGCCGAUGAAGGACGUUAAUAACGACGAUAUGCUUUGGGGAGCUGUAAGUAAGCUUUGAUCCAGAGAUUUCCGAAUGGGGAAACCCAGCA